GGGGGUCCGGAAGUGUUAGGAGCCUCGCGAAGGGUUGGUGUUCAUCUGCUUGCAGAGGAAAGCCAGAGUAUUUCUCUGUUGCCUGGGCUGGAAUGCAGUGGCGCCAUCAUAACUCACUGCAGCCUCAACCACCUGGACUCAAGCUAUCCUCUCACCUCAGCCUCCCUAGUAGAUGGGACUACAGGUCCAUACCCCUGAACUUCUCAAAUAUUUCCAAUGCUCAUCACUGGGUCUUUUGCAUGGUCAAAAGGGUUGCAGGUGAUUCUUCUGUGUUGUAAAGUUGAAGAGCAGCUUAAUCCACACUUCCUUUUUGGUCUCACUUCUCCCCUUUGUUCCGGUCAAACCCUGACUGCUUCAAAAGGAAAACUGAACAGAAAGGCUACUGUCCCUAGAGCCUAAAGAGGCAAAGUACCUCUACCAAGGCAGUGAACGACAGUCAAGUUUGACCCUCAAAGAUCAGCUGGGCCAGGUAUAGAAGAUGGAAUCUCGCUCUGUCGCCCAGGCUGGAGUGCAAUGGCAUGAUCUCAGCUCACUGCAACCUCCGCCUCUCUGGUUCAAGUGAUUCUUCUACCUCAGCCUCCUGAGUAGCUGGGAUUAUAGGCGAGCGCCACCACACCUGGCUAAUUUUUUGAAUUUUUAGUAGAGACGGGGUUUCACCAUGUUGGUCAGGCUGGUCUUGAACUCCAGACCUCAUGAUCCGCCCGUCUCGGCCCCCAAAGUGCUGGGAUUACAGGCGUGAGCCACCGUGCCCAGCAAAAUAAAAAUUUUUAAGUCCAUUUUCAUUUCCCAUCACCUUGAUCCUAGAUAAGUAAUUAACUUCAGUAACUCUUCCCUCUUUUUAUGGGGGUGGAGGCUGUGGUGAUUAACAUAUAAUAAAUGUAUUUAUUUUCAAAAUGCCUAGAAUGAAAAAAAAACACGCAUUAAAAACAGAGCACAAGUAUUAUUAUGGCAUUCUUCCAUAUGUGGCACAUAUUAUACAGCCUCACUUGGCAGAGUUCUCUUAUUUCUUAAGGGUACGAAUUAGGUCAAGAUCAGACUCCACUGUCUUAAGCUUCCCAGCAACUAAAACAAAGCAGGACAAAACAAACAAACAAACAAACAAAAACACCCUACAACUGUACCCACCUGAAGAACUAUAUCAGAAUUUCAAGCUCUUGGUCACUGGUGGCCAGGUGACAAUAUGUUUAUUACCGGAAAAAUAACUCAAAGCCAAAAUCCUUUUGUGGCAGGGUAGUACUGUCAUUCUUUACAUUAAAAUUACAUGUAAUCUACAAGAUAAAACCAAUGUUUUUUGUUUGAUAUACAACACUGCUCAUCAACAGGUACUAAAAAUUACAAUGAAUGAAGUGAAUGUUGCUUUGAAUAAAUGUAUACAAU
ensembl:lncRNA novel transcript